rnacentral:rRNA from 1 species
CACUGCCUGCCCAGUGACACACGUUCAACGGCCGCGGUACCCUGACCGUGCAAAGGUAGCAUAAUCACUUGUUCUUUAAAUAAGGACUCGUAUGAAUGGCACCACGAGGGUUUAACUGUCUCUUGCUUUUAACCAGUGAAAUUGACCUGUCCGUGAAGAGACGGACAUAAAGCAAUAAGACGAGAAGACCCUGUGGAGCUUCAAUUUAUUAGUACAACUAAAAACCACACAAACCAACAGGCCCCUAAACUCCUAUAUCUGUACUAAAAAUUUCGGUUGGGGUGACCUCGGAGUACAACUAAACCUCCGAAUAAUCCAUGCCAAGACCACACAAGUCAAAGCGAACACACUUACAAUUGAUCCAAUAAUUUGAUCAGCGGAACAAGUUACCCCAGGGAUAACAGCGCAAUUCUAUUCUAGAGUCCAUAUCGACAAUAGAGUUUACGACCUCGAUGUUGGAUCAGGAUAUCCUAAUGGUGCAGCAGCUAUCAAGGG